GAGCCAUCCAAUCAACAUGAAAGGGGAGCUUCGUAGCCACUGAGAAGAAGUCUUCUUACCAUUUGUGCUGAUUGGAGCCAAUCGGAGUGAAAGGAGGUGAGUUGGCCACUGAGGAUUGGCUCCUAGGGUCACCCUGGAGAAGGCACAUGGGAAGAACACCAAGGAGUUGUUUUUCCAUAUGCUCCAAAACUGAGCAUUUAGGAACACUGAAAAUGCAAGGUGUCUCCGUUUUCAAGAGUAUGGUGUGUAAGUUCUGUUAUGCACAACGGAACUUCAAGGAAAACACAGCUUGAGUCACUGCAAAGGAAGAUAUUGGAGCACUCCAAAUCAUUUGCCGAUGUACAUGCACAGAAAAUAAUAGCUCUUGCUGAAAAGCAACACAGGGAGAUCUGCAUUGAUUGUUGCAAUUAGCCCCUGCUUAUUAUUACAGUGGUACUUCGGGUUACAGACACUUCAGGUUACAGACUCCGCUAACCCAGAAAUAGUACCUUGGGUUAAGAACUUUGCUUCAGGAUGAGAACAGAAAUCGCACGAUGGCGGUGUGGGGCAGCAGGAGGCCCCAUUAGCUAAAGUGGCACCUCAGGUUAAGAACAGUUUCAGGUUAAGAAUAGACCACCAGAACAAAUUAAGUUCUUAACCCGAGGUACCACUGUAUUGCAUAAUCUUAGAAGAGGGUGUGGCUGUAACUGGGGUAUGGCUGUGACUAUCAUAAACGGACUGUGAACUUCUGAAUUUGCCCACAAUGUCUAAGUACAAAAGAAGGUUGCCACCAUGCUAGUAUCCUACAUGAUCCACUUGAUUUCCUAUCAAACAGAAGACCAGCAAUCUCAGCUUUGAAGGACCGAUCAUCAAGCAUUCUAUCCUCCUGCCUGAUAGGCCACAUUUUUCAAUAGACAUUCACCUGGCUGCCUGUGGUGAUUUUAGACUAUCAGGAAUCAAAACUCUCACAAGCUGGAAGCUGGAAGGUAGUUU